rnacentral:rRNA from 1 species
AUGGAGGCAUCUCUCCCUUAUUUCCCAAGUGCGCGGCAGAUGACGGAAAGGACGACCGCCAACUCUCUCUUCUCCCUCGCCCCGCUCCGCCUCACCCAUCGCCGUCUCAUCUCCCGCACCCCCGGCACAGCCUCACGCUUCCGGACGGUUGCCUCAACCGUCCCCUGGCCCGAUGGGGGCGCGGGGAGCGCGCUGCUCUCGGUGCUCGACCGGGCGCUCACCGACAAGGAACAAUACUGUCGCGAGGGCUCCCAGGUGCGACGCAAGGGCAUGGAGGCAGAGAGGUCCGUCGUAGAGGUGAUCCAGGUGCCGGUGAGGAGGAAGAAGGUGGUGAAUGCCACACAUCAGCAAUCGUCCUCCCACGCCAGACACGCCCAUGUUCUGUUGCUGCUGAUCCCGCAUCACGAUACACAUAAACUGUUUGAGGUUAAAAUGACGGUUGUUCUUGGGGAGCUUGGAGGAAGUGACGAGUAUUCGCUCCUCGAAUCCUUGAAACAAGGAAAGGUCGAGAAACCUGUUCUUGCUUGGGUUAGUGGGACGUGUGCACGUUUGUUGAAAUUUGAUUCCAGUUUUUCCAUGCUGUAA